rnacentral:rRNA from 1 species
CCUGGUUGAUUCUGCCAGUAGUCAUAUGCUUGUCUCAAAGAUUAAGCCAUGCAAGUCUAAGUUUAAGCACCUAAACGGCGAAACUGCGAAUGGCUCAUUAAAUCAGUUAUCGUAUAUUUGAUAGUACCUACUACAUGGAUAACCGUGGUAAUUCUAGAGCUAAUACAUGCUUAAAAUCCCGACUUCGGAAGGGAUGUAUUUAUUAGAUUAAAAACCAAUGCCCUUCGGGGCUCACUGGUGAUUCAUAAUAACUUCUCGAAUCGCAUGGCCUUGUGCCGGCGAUGGUUCAUUCAAAUUUCUGCCCUAUCAACUUUCGACGGCUGGGUCUUGGCCAGCCGUGGUUACAACGGGUAACGGAGGGUUAGGGCUUGACCCCGGAGAAGGAGCCUGAGAAACGGCUACUACAUCCAAGGAAGGCAGCAGGCGCGCAAAUUACCCAAUCCCGAUACGGGGAGGUAGUGACAAUAAAUACUGAUACAGGGCUCUUUUGGGUCUUGUAAUUGGAAUGAGUACAAUUUAAAUCCCUUAACGAGGAACAAUUGGAGGGCAAGUCUGGUGCCAGCAGCCGCGGUAAUUCCAGCUCCAAUAGCGUAUAUUAAAGUUGUUGCAGUUAAAAAGCUCGUAGUUGAACCUUGGGCCUGGCUGGCCGGUCUGCCUCACCGCAUGCACUGGUCCGGCCGGGCCUUUCCCUCUGGGGAGCCGCAUGCCCUUCACUGGGUGUGUCGGGGAACCAGGACUUUUACUGUGAAAAAAUUAGAGUGUUCAAAGCAGGCCUAUGCUCGAAUACAUUAGCAUGGAAUAAUAGAAUAGGACGUUGCGGUUCUAUUUUGUUGGUUUCUAGGACCGCCGUAAUGAUUAAUAGGGACAGUCGGGGGCAUCAGUAUUCAAUCGUCAGAGGUGAAAUUCUUGGAUCGAUUGAAGACUAACUACUGCGAAAGCAUUUGCCAAGGAUGUUUUCAUUAAUCAGGAACGAAAGUUAGGGGAUCGAAAACGAUCAGAUACCGUUGUAGUCUUAACCAUAAACUAUGCCGACUAGGGAUCGGGCGAUGUUUUUCUUUGACUCGCUCGGCACCUUACACGAAAGUAAAGUUUUUGGGUUCUGGGGGGAGUAUGGUCGCAAGGCUGAAACUUAAAGAAAUUGACGGAAGGGCACCACAAGGGGUGGAGCCUGCGGCUUAAUUUGACUCAACACGGGGAAACUCACCAGGUCCAGACACAACUAGGAUUGACAGAUUGAGAGCUCUUUCUUGAUUUUGUGGGUGGUGGUGCAUGGCCGUUCUUAGUUGGUGGAGUGAUUUGUCUGCUUAAUUGCGAUAACGAACGAGACCUUAACCUGCUAAAUAGCCCGCGCCGCUCAGGCGGCACGCUGGCUUCUUAGAGGGACUAUCGGCUCAAGCCGAUGGAAGUUUGAGGCAAUAACAGGUUAACAUUCACAGGCCUGUAAAAGUAGUCCUCAUUAAAAUAACUGCUAGUCGAUGCAUCGUUCUCCGCGGGGAAGCCCCCAAUUAUCGGGCGGAGAUACGCUGAGUACACCUGCUCUAUGGUUACUCACCGUAAGAUGCCGGCGACACCACCUGGUACAGGGGACGCCUCACGGUUUCGAAUACCGAAGGCCAAUCCUGUGGCGAGCUCGGGUCGCGCCGAGCCGUCGCAACGCGCGCAAAGGGGUGGGCCAGCCUACGGGCUGGCUUAAGGUACGUGCUAAUCCGCC